rfam:Heterocephalus glaber contig141620, whole genome shotgun sequence.
AGCUUUGCGCAAUGGCAGUAUUGUAGCCAAUGAGGUUUAUCCAAGGUGCAAUUAUUGCUAACUGAAAAUAAUAACAAACAAAUUGGUUCAUUAAUUGCAAUAAAUGUAUCAUACCGACAUAUGAAUUUACAACAGGAA